GGGUAAAAAUUAAUAAAUUAUAAAUAAUAAAAAAAAUUUUAAUAUUGGGGGGUAUUGAAGUAUUUUUUUAAAAAAAAUAAUUUAAUUUAUAGGGAAUUAGUAUUGUAAAAUAAAUUUGAAAUAGUUGAAAAUAAAUUAAUAAUAAAGUAAUUUUUGUUUAAUGUAUCUUGUGUAUCAGAGUUUAUUAAAAAAUAUUUUUUUUAUAAAAAAAUCUCGAAUUUAAAAGAGUUAAUUAAUUAUAAAAGUUAAUGUAGAAAAAUUAUUUUAAAUAAUUAAUUUGAAAUGAAAUGUUAAUCGUUUUUAAAUAUAUCUAGUUAUUUUAGAAAAAAAUUUAAUUUUAAAUUUAAAAAAUUUUAUUUUUAAUUUUAUAAAUUAAAAAUAAAAUUUUUAAAAUUAAAUAUAUUAAGGGAUAAGCUUUAAUAUAAAAAUUUAUAAUAAAUUAAAUUGAAAAUAAAAAUUUUAAAAUUUAUAUUGUUUAAAAAUUAUAAUUUAUUAAAAAAAAUUUUAUUUUUAAUAAAAUUUAAUAAAAAAAUUUAAUUUUAUAUAAAAUAAUAAUAAAAAUAAAAAAAAAAUUAGUAAUAAUGAUAAAAUUAGUAUAUUAUAUUAAAAUAAUAAUUUAAUUAAUUUAAAUUAAAUUAAAGGAAUUCGGCAAAAUUUUAUAUUCACUUGUUUAUCAAAAACAUGUCUUUUAGUUAAUAAUUUAAAGUCUAAUCUGCCCACUGAUAAUUAUAUUAAAGGGCUGCAGUAUAUUGACUGUACAAAGGUAGCAUAAUCAUUAGUCUUUUAAUUGAAGACUUGUAUGAAAGAUUUGAUGAAAUAUAAACUGUCUCUGAUUUAAAAAUAAAAUUUAAUUUUUUAGUUAAAAAGCUAAAAUAAAUUUAAAAGACGAGAAGACCCUAUAGAGUUUUAUAUUGAAAUUAUUUAAGAUUAUAAAUAUAAAUAAAAAUUAAAAAUAAAAUUAAUAUUUUAUUGGGGUGAUAAAAAAAUUAAUAUAACUUUUUUUUUUGUAAAACAUGAAUAAGUGAAUAAUUGAUCCAUUUUUUAUGAUUAAAAGAAAAAAUUACCUUAGGGAUAACAGCGUAAUAUUUUUUUUUAGUACAAAUAAAAAAAAAAGUUUGCGACCUCGAUGUUGGAUUAAGAUAAAAUUUGAAUGUAAAAGUUUAAAAUUUUGAUCUGUUCGAUCAUUAAAAUCUUACAUGAUCUGAGUUCAAACCGGUGUGAGCCAGGUUGGUUUCUAUCUUUAAAAUAAGGAAAUAUUUUAGUACGAAAGGAUCAGAUAUUUUUAAUAAUUAAAAUUUAAUGAAUAUUAAUAAUAAAUAAUUAUAUU
rnacentral:rRNA from 1 species